GGGUUGUGAGGUUAAGCGACUAAGCGUACACGGUGGAUGCCCUGGCAGUCAGAGGCGAUGAAGGGCGUGCUAAUCUGCGAUAAGCGCCGGUAAGGUGAUAUGAACCGUUAUAACCGGCGAUACCCGAAUGGGGAAACCCAGUGUGAUUCGUCACACUAUCAUUAACUGAAUCCAUAGGUUAAUGAGGCGAACCGGGGGAACUGAAACAUCUAAGUACCCCGAGGAAAAGAAAUCAACCGAGAUUCCCCCAGUAGCGGCGAGCGAACGGGGAGGAGCCCAGAGCCUGAAUCAGCAUGUGUGUUAGUGGAAGCGUCUGGAAAGGCGCGCGAUACAGGGUGACAGCCCCGUACACAAAAGCGCAUGUGCUGUGAGCUCGAUGAGUAGGGCGGGACACGUGGUAUCCUGUCUGAAUAUGGGGGGACCAUCCUCCAAGGCUAAAUACUCCUGACUGACCGAUAGUGAACCAGUACCGUGAGGGAAAGGCGAAAAGAACCCCGGCGAGGGGAGUGAAAAAGAACCUGAAACCGUGUACGUACAAGCAGUGGGAGCACCCUUUGGGUGUGACUGCGUACCUUUUGUAUAAUGGGUCAGCGACUUAUAUUCUGUAGCAAGGUUAACCGAAUAGGGGAGCCGGAGGGAAACCGAGUCUUAAUUGGGCGUUAAGUUGCAGGGUAUAGACCCGAAACCCGGUGAUCUAGCCAUGGGCAGGUUGAAGGUUGGGUAACACUAACUGGAGGACCGAACCGACUAAUGUUGAAAAAUUAGCGGAUGACCUGUGGCUGGGGGUGAAAGGCCAAUCAAACCGGGAGAUAGCUGGUUCUCCCCGAAAGCUAUUUAGGUAGCGCCUCGUGAAUUCAUCUCCGGGGGUAGAGCACUGUUUCGGCUAGGGGGCCAUCCCGGCUUACCAACCCGAUGCAAACUGCGAAUACCGGAGAAUGUUAUCACGGGAGACACACGGCGGGUGCUAACGUCCGUCGUGAAGAGGGAAACAACCCAGACCGCCAGCUAAGGUCCCAAAGUCAUGGUUAAGUGGGAAACGAUGUGGGAAGGCCCAGACAGCCAGGAUGUUGGCUUAGAAGCAGCCAUCAUUUAAAGAAAGCGUAAUAGCUCACUGGUCGAGUCGGCCUGCGCGGAAGAUGUAACGGGGCUAAACCAUGCACCGAAGCUGCGGCAGCGACGCUGAUGCGUUGUUGGGUAGGGGAGCGUUCUGUAAGCCUGCGAAGGUGGCCUGUGAGGGUUGCUGGAGGUAUCAGAAGUGCGAAUGCUGACAUAAGUAACGAUAAAGCGGGUGAAAAGCCCGCUCGCCGGAAGACCAAGGGUUCCUGUCCAACGUUAAUCGGGGCAGGGUGAGUCGACCCCUAAGGCGAGGCCGAAAGGCGUAGUCGAUGGGAAACGGGUUAAUAUUCCCGUACUUGGUGUUACUGCGAAGGGGGGACGGAGAAGGCUAUGUUGGCCGGGCGACGGUUGUCCCGGUUUAAGCGUGUAGGUGUGUGUUCCAGGUAAAUCCGGUUCACUUUAACACUGAGGCGUGACGACGAGGCACUACGGUGCUGAAGCAACAAAUGCCCUGCUUCCAGGAAAAGCCUCUAAGCAUCAGGUAACAUCAAAUCGUACCCCAAACCGACACAGGUGGUCAGGUAGAGAAUACCAAGGCGCUUGAGAGAACUCGGGUGAAGGAACUAGGCAAAAUGGUGCCGUAACUUCGGGAGAAGGCACGCUGACACGUAGGUGAAGUGAUUUACUCAUGGAGCUGAAGUCAGUCGAAGAUACCAGCUGGCUGCAACUGUUUAUUAAAAACACAGCACUGUGCAAACACGAAAGUGGACGUAUACGGUGUGACGCCUGCCCGGUGCCGGAAGGUUAAUUGAUGGGGUCAGCGCAAGCGAAGCUCCUGAUCGAAGCCCCGGUAAACGGCGGCCGUAACUAUAACGGUCCUAAGGUAGCGAAAUUCCUUGUCGGGUAAGUUCCGACCUGCACGAAUGGCGUAAUGAUGGCCAGGCUGUCUCCACCCGAGACUCAGUGAAAUUGAACUCGCUGUGAAGAUGCAGUGUACCCGCGGCAAGACGGAAAGACCCCGUGAACCUUUACUAUAGCUUGACACUGAACAUUGAGCCUUGAUGUGUAGGAUAGGUGGGAGGCUUUGAAGUGUGGACGCCAGUCUGCAUGGAGCCGACCUUGAAAUACCACCCUUUAAUGUUUGAUGUUCUAACGUGGACCCGUUACCCGGGUUGCGGACAGUGUCUGGUGGGUAGUUUGACUGGGGCGGUCUCCUCCUAAAGAGUAACGGAGGAGCACGAAGGUUGGCUAAUCCUGGUCGGACAUCAGGAGGUUAGUGCAAUGGCAUAAGCCAGCUUGACUGCGAGCGUGACGGCGCGAGCAGGUGCGAAAGCAGGUCAUAGUGAUCCGGUGGUUCUGAAUGGAAGGGCCAUCGCUCAACGGAUAAAAGGUACUCCGGGGAUAACAGGCUGAUACCGCCCAAGAGUUCAUAUCGACGGCGGUGUUUGGCACCUCGAUGUCGGCUCAUCACAUCCUGGGGCUGAAGUAGGUCCCAAGGGUAUGGCUGUUCGCCAUUUAAAGUGGUACGCGAGCUGGGUUUAGAACGUCGUGAGACAGUUCGGUCCCUAUCUGCCGUGGGCGCUGGAGAACUGAGGGGGGCUGCUCCUAGUACGAGAGGACCGGAGUGGACGCAUCACUGGUGUUCGGGUUGUCAUGCCAAUGGCACUGCCCGGUAGCUAAAUGCGGAAGAGAUAAGUGCUGAAAGCAUCUAAGCACGAAACUUGCCCCGAGAUGAGUUCUCCCUGAGACUUAGAGUCUCCUGAAGGAACGUUGAAGACGACGACGUUGAUAGGCCGGGUGUGUAAGCGCAGCGAUGCGUUGAGCUAACCGGUACUAAUGAACCGUGAGGCUUAACCUUACAACGCCGAAG
rnacentral:rRNA from 1 species